rnacentral:rRNA from 1 species
GACGAACCGUCCAAACGUUAUUCGGUAUCACUGGGCUUAAAGAGUUCGUAGGCGGCCCGACAGGUGAGGUGUGAAAUCCCUCGGCUCAACCGAGGAAUUGCGCUUCAAACCGUCAGGCUUGAGGGAGAUAGAGGUGAGCGGAACAGAUGGUGGAGCGGUGAAAUGCGUUGAUAUCAUCUGGAACACCGGUGGCGAAAGCGGCUCACUGGAUCUUUUCUGACGCUGAGGAACGAAAGCUAGGGUAGCGAACGGG